UACGUAGGGUGCAAGCGUUAAUCGGAAUUACUGGGCGUAAAGCGUGCGCAGGCGGCUUUGCAAGACAGAUGUGAAAUCCCCGGGCUCAACCUGGGAACUGCAUUUGUGACUGCAAGGCUGGAGUGCGGCAGAGGGGGAUGGAAUUCCGCGUGUAGCAGUGAAAUGCGUAGAUAUGCGGAGGAACACCGAUGGCGAAGGCAAUCCCCUGGGCCUGCACUGACGCUCAUGCACGAAAGCGUGGGGAGCAAACAGGAUUAGAUACCCUGGUAGUCCACGCCCUAAACGAUGUCAACUGGUUGUUGGACGGCUUGCUGUUCAGUAACGAAGCUAACGCGUGAAGUUGACCGCCUGGGGAGUACGGCCGCAAGGUUGAA
rnacentral:rRNA from 1 species